GUUUAGCUGACGAAUCGCAAAUGGAACUAAACGCGCUUCCUGGAC
rnacentral:hammerhead_ribozyme from 1 species